GUGCAGCAGUCGCAAAUCUUUAGCAAUGCCCGAAAGGGUGACUAUGCGACGCCGCGUGAGCGAUGAAGUCCUUCGGGACGUAAAGCUCUGUCAGGUGGGAUGAAUUUUUCGACCUUAACAGGGUUGGAAUUUGACCGUACCACCAGAGGAAGCCACGGCUAAACUCCGUGCCAGCCAGCCGCGGUAAUACGGAGGUGGCAAGCGUUGUUCGGAUUUAUGGGUGUAAAAGGGCAUGUAGGUGUCCUAGUAAGUCCUGGCUGAAAAUCCUUUCGGGCUCAACCGAAGAACGUGUCAGGAAACUGCUGGGAUUGAGUACGGAAGAGGAGAACGGAAUUCCCGGUGUAAGGGUGAAAUCUGUAGAUAUCGGGGA
rnacentral:rRNA from 1 species